ACAAAUAUCCAUAAUUUCUGGCUGCAUCUCAGAUUUCUUUCCCACCAGGUCAUCCAGCCUUAUGUCAAUUUACUGCAGGCACGCAGCCAAAAGUUGCAAGGUUUCUGUAGCAUUCUUCAAAAAUCCAAGUCAAAACCAGGAAUAUGGAAUGAGGUUCACUUUCCACUGCUUUCAAGAUCUCCUUGCCAUCAUCUUUCUCAUUCAGCUUUGGUUCUCAGGAAGUGAAAGGAAGUCAAACUACUAAAAUGCAAGCAAUGAGCAAGAGCUUCCCUCUUAGGUGUCCACAGCUUCCUGAGGAGUGGAAGUGGAGAGGUUUAACACAUUAUGUUUGACACUCCAUCAUCAAGUUAUAUGACUCAACACCUUAAGGAACAACUCAGCCUGGAAAAGCACAAGAACCACUGAUAUGUCAAGAUGUUAUUUCAAGUUCAACCCAAGCAACACAACC